AUCAUUACAACAUCAGAUAUCUGCAAUGACACGAUAUCGCCAUUACAUGCAUAAUAUUUACAUAUAUACAUAUGUACAUAUAAAAACAGCACUAACUAUCUACCUAACAACUUCUCCAUACUGCCCUGACAGGUUUAUCCUUAUCAUAAUAUUACCUAUAUACAUAGUCCUCCAUAUACCCAUCUUCCCAUUCCCUUUUAUCAUUGAAUUUCCCAAUAAAUAUAAACUCUCCUUAUACUUCUGUAUUGGAUCCAUAUUUGUCACAGAGAUAUACAUACUCUGUACCCAGGUGACAACUAUACCACAUGUUGCUACUUGGAACGCAUACUUGCGCUCCAUCUACCCACUAGCCAUGCUCCACACUAAUACUUCCGCCAUAUGGAACGCAUAAAUGCGCAAAAAUGCGCUCCAUUCUACUCUCCUUUUAAUCAGCCACAUUAUCAGCAGCACUUCCGGUAUUUGGAACGCAAACUUGCGUUCCACACACUACGUCACUUCCGGUCAGAUGACCGGAACUCUGAUCCUCUCGGAUUACUUAAACCGAGGCAGAAAGUGGGUCAGACCUGCAUCCAGCGCCCCAGAACACAGCCAUACAUCACUCAGAGGAAAUAUUGAAGAUUAAAGUGUCAUCUCUACCUGAGAGCGUGUUAUCCGUGGUGCGUCGAUGCCCCCGAUAAUGGCGUCCUGCUCGUCUGGUGUUUUUCUUUGUUGAGGUCUUUGUCUCCUUCUGCCUAAAAAAGGCGCACGCGGAGGUCCAAUGGUGGAAUCACUUCCAGAUCCAGAUGACAUCGAGGCUCCCCGACGUUGCUGCCUGGUGAAUAAAGAAAACGUGAGGAACUCCAACCGCAUCAUCUGAACUGCAAGCUACUACGAUUAUCUAGAGAAUUUCAUAAGAAUCUAUAAUUGCUAUCAUUUUCAUUGAUGCUGUUGCGAUUGGGCUGCUUCUCACGUGUAUCUAAUAAUUUAAAUUGUUACUUUGUUUUUUCCCUUUUUUCCCCGUGUUCCCUCCCCCUCCCCCUCUCGCUUCUUUUCUUUUCAGUCCAUUUGUUUGUUUAAAUCACCAUGACUACAUUAUGUCAUUUCCGCUGUGGCGGUCUAUUUAAAUCACGUAUAUUGUCUGACUUUGUUAUAUGCCAUUGGUUUGAGAAAGGCUCGCAGCAGAGCCGA